rnacentral:tRNA from 1 species
GGAUGUGGCUCAGUGGUAGAUUGUUUGCCUAGGGUGCAUGAGGCCCUGGGUUCAAUCCUCUGCACCA